rnacentral:tRNA from 1 species
GCAUGGUUGGUUUAGUGGCAUAAUUACCGCCUGCCACCUCCAGCGCGCGGUAGACCCGGGUUCGAUUCCCGGACCAUGCA